rnacentral:rRNA from 1 species
UACAGAGGGGGCAAGCGUUGUUCGGAAUUACUGGGCGUAAAGGGCGCGUAGGCGGCCUGUUAAGUCGAACGUGAAAUCCCUGGGCUCAACCCAGGAACUGCGUCCGAUACUGGCAGGCUUGAAUCCGGGAGAGGGAUGUGGAAUUCCAGGUGUAGCGGUGAAAUGCGUAGAUAUCUGGAGGAACGCCGGUGGCGAAGGCGGCAUCCUGGACCGGUAUUGACGCUGAGGCGCGAAAGCCAGGGGAGCAAACGGG